rnacentral:misc_RNA from 1 species
GAUGAAGAACGUAGCGAAUUGCGAUAAGUAAUGUGAAUUGCAGAUUUUCAGUGAAUCAUCGAAUCUUUGAACGCACAUUGCGCCCCUUGGUAUCCCGAGGGGCAUGCCUGUUCGAGCGUCAUUUCACCACUCAAGCCUGGCUUGGUGUUGGGCGACGUCCUCUUUGGGGACGCGCCUCGAAACGCUCGGCGGCGUGGCACCGGCUUUAAGCGUAGCAGAAUCUUUCGCUUUGGAAGUCGGGGCCCCGUCUGCCGGAAGACCUGCUCGCAAGGUUGACCUCGGAUCAGGCAGGGAUACCCGCUGAACUUAAGCAUAUCAAUAAGCGGAGGA